rnacentral:misc_RNA from 1 species
AAGUCGUAACAAGGUUUCCGUAGGUGAACCUGCGGAAGGAUCAUUACUGGGUUUUUGGGCUCUGCCCGCCACCCGCCCUCUGUUAUCUGUGACUUGUUUCGGCCCCCUCAAAAGGGCCGGCAGCAACUCUGAAGCAUCUUGAAGUCUGAUACACUGUCAAUAAAAAAAACUUUCAACAACGGAUCUCUUGGUUCUG